UACGUAGGGUGCGAGCGUUAAUCGGAAUUACUGGGCGUAAAGCGUGCGCAGGCGGCUUCGCAAGUCAGACGUGAAAUCCCCGGGCUUAACCUGGGAAUGGCGUUUGAAACUACGGAGCUGGAGUGUGGCAGAGGGAGGUAGAAUUCCACGUGUAGCGGUGAAAUGCGUAGAUAUGUGGAGGAAUACCAGUGGCGCAGGCGGCUUUCUGGUCUGUAACUGACGCUGAGGCGCGAAAGCGUGGGGAGCAAACAGG
rnacentral:rRNA from 1 species